AAUAUUGGACAAUUGGGGCAACCCUGAUCCAGCCACGCCCCGUGUGUGAAGAAGGUCUUCGGAUUGUAAAGCACUUUAAGUUGGGGGGAAGGGCGUUAGGGUAAUACCCUGAAGUUUUGACGUUACCAACAGAAUAAGCACCGGUUAUCUCUGUGCCAUAAGCCGCGUUAAUACGAAGGGUGCAAGCGUUAAUCGGAAUUACGGGCCGUAAAGCGCGCGUAGGUGGUUCAGUAAGAUGGGUGUGAAAUCCCCAGGCUUAACCUGGGAACUGCUUUCAUAACUGCUGAGCUAGAGUACGGUAGAGGGUAGUGGAAUUUCCUGUGUAGCGGUGAAAUGCGUAGAUAUAGGAAGGAACACCAGUGGCGAAGGCGACUACCUGGACUGAUACUGACACUGAGGUGCGAAAGCGUGGGGAGCAAACAG
rnacentral:rRNA from 1 species